CUACGGUGAAUACGUUCCCGGACCUUGUACACACCGCCCGUCAAGCCAUGGAAGCUGGGUGUACCUAAAGUCGGUAACCGUAAGGAGCCGCCUAGGGUAAACUAGUAACUGGGGCU
rnacentral:rRNA from 1 species